GACGAACGCUGGCGGCGCGCUUAAUACAUGCAAGUCGAGCGAGAACCAGGGCUUCGGCCCUGGGGACAGCGGCGAACGGGUGAGUAACACGUGGGUAAUCAACCCCCGACACCGGGAUAGCCCAGGGAAACUUGGAUUAAUACCGGAUGCCCCAUCUGGCUUUCGAGCCGGCUGGAAAAGGGUAGCUUCGGCCUCCGGUCGGGGACGAGCCCGCGGCGGAUUAGCUUGUUGGUGAGGUAAAGGCUCACCAAGGCGACGAUCCGUAGCUGGUCUGAGAGGACGAACAGCCACACUGGGACUGAGACACGGCGCAGACUCCUACGGGAGGCAGCAGUAGGGAAUCUUGCGCAAUGGGCGAAAGCCUGACGCAGCGACGCCGCGUGAGGGAAGAAGGCCUUCGGGUUGUAAACCUCUUUCAGGAGGGACGAAGCCACUCGGGUUAAUAGCCUAGAGGGUGACGGUACCUCCAGAAGAAGCCCCGGCUAACUACGUGCCAGCCGCCGCGGUAA
rnacentral:rRNA from 1 species